GCUAUUACGAAUAAGCUGGGCUAUGGCAAGUAGUAUAGGGGAUGAGAUAUGGGCAUGGAAAAGGGUGAGUGAGGAAAAAGCAUUUGGGUCUUACUCCUAUAAUUUUUUGAGUAGUGUGGAAAGAAAGGAAUAAAAGAGUUUUUGAAGGAGUGAAAGAGGAGUUUGAUAGGAUUAAGGAUAGAUGGUAUCUAAUUUUUGGGUUGUUUGGUUAUGAGUAACUAUUUACACUCUAUGGAAGAUUUUGUAACCUUGUUGAGAUCCUAAUUGAUGUGUAAAUAUCUUUUGUAUAUGAGUUGACAUCCCUUUGGUAUUUGUAAUUAAUGAGUGCUCGUUAUACUUUUUGUUUAAAAAAAAUAGUUGGAUUGGAAGUUGGUUUCUUUAAGGAAC
rnacentral:lncRNA from 1 species